ACUUCUUAGUUUUUUAACCCAUCCCAUUUGUUUAAUUUACCCUGUUGCUUCCACUGGAUGAGAGUUUCCAUACCUUGCGUGUGAGAAACUUUGGCUUGUGAAUAUUAACACACGCCAGCCAGUGAGAAGACCAUUUAUAAAAACCUGUUGAGAACCAAUUUGUCUGAAUAUUUUGCUCCAAUAAAAUAAAACUUUCAACAACGGAUCUCUAGGCUCUUGCAUCGAUGAAGAACGCAGUGAAAUGCGAUAAGUAAUGUGAAUUGCAGAAUCUCGUGAAUCAUCGAAUCUUUGAACGCACAUUGCGCCCUAUGGUAUUCCAUAGGGCAUGCCUGUCUGAGCGUCAGCUCCCCCAUACUCAAGCGUCCUUUUUAAUGAUGCUUGGAUUGCUUUGGAGAGGUAUCAUGUUAUCAUGAAGCCCUCCAGAAAUUUAUAGGCAGUAUGGUUUGCACCAGAACCAGACGUAAUAAUAAUAAAAUCGUCUCUUUUUGGGUAUAAUCAUUUGUACUUGCCUUUGAAUCACCCAUGUUGAUUUUUUGGGUGACC
rnacentral:rRNA from 1 species